rnacentral:rRNA from 1 species
GAUGAACGCUGGCGGCGUGCCUAAUACAUGCAAGUCGAGCGAACAGACGAGGAGCUUGCUCCUCUGACGUUAGCGGCGGACGGGUGAGUAACACGUGGAUAACCUACCUAUAAGACUGGGAUAACUUCGGGAAACCGGAGCUAAUACCGGAUAAUAUAUUGAACCGCAUGGUUCAAUAGUGAAAGACGGUUUUGCUGUCACUUAUAGAUGGAUCCGCGCCGCAUUAGCUAGUUGGUAAGGUAACGGCUUACCAAGGCAACGAUGCGUAGCCGACCUGAGAGGGUGAUCGGCCACACUGGAACUGAGACACGGUCCAGACUCCUACGGGAGGCAGCAGUAGGGAAUCUUACGCAAUGGGCGAAAGCCUGACGGAGCAAAGCCGCGUGAGUGAUGAAGGUCUUCGGAUCGUAAAACUCUGUUAUUAGGGAAGAACAAAUGUGUAAGUAACUAUGCACGUCUUGACGGUACCUAAUCAGAAAGCCACGGCUAACUACGUG